rnacentral:lncRNA from 1 species
GGCCGGGCCGCCCAGAGCUCGCCAUUGGGCCUCACUCCCGGGGUCCCGAGCGCCGGCCAUGCUGAUUGGCCGCUGGGGCUUCAUUCACAGCCCCCCUACAGUCCGCAUACACACUCACGCCCCGGGGGCGCGGCCGCCACGUGGGGAGUGGCGCGGGGGUGGUACUGGGACCGCACCCCCUCUCGUCCUGGCUGCGUGGGCCCGCUUUCCCCGGUCUCUGGAGACUCCGAGCCCGGCGGGUCCCACGCUCCACGCGAGCAGAAUUCCCGCAGGUCUCCCGCCCGGGUGGCCAGAGGCGGUGGCGGGGAUGGCGGGCUCCGGGAGGCGCUCCGGCUCCGAGAAGCCGCUUAGCCCCGCGCUCCUCCCUCCGCAGUGCCGCCGCCGGCGGGCCGGGAUUCCCGCGGGUCUCGGCGGCCGCGAGCUGCAGGCGGCGCAGGUCCCCGGCUCGGUUGGUCACCUUGCCCGCCUCGCCUCCCACGGCUUCCAGCGGGCGCGGAGCUCUCCUCUGCGCGCCUCCCCGGCCCGUCUCGGUUUCCCUUCUUCGUCCUCUAGACCAUCCAGCGCAACUCCGUCGACCUCCGCGGCCCUGAGAGAGCAUCCGGCGCGGGCAGAGGCGUACCGGCCCGACCUCACGCCUCUCAUGGACUCUUCUCCAGGGUACCAUGGCCCAGGGAGUUCCUAG